AUUGAACGCUGGCGGCAGGCCUAACACAUGCAAGUCGAGCGGAUGAAGGGAGCUUGCUCCUGGAUUCAGCGGCGGACGGGUGAGUAAUGCCUAGGAAUCUGCCUGGUAGUGGGGGAUAACGUCCGGAAACGGGCGCUAAUACCGCAUGCGUCCUGAGGGAGAAAGUGGGGGAUCUUCGGACCUCACGCUAUCAGAUGAGCCUAGGUCGGAUUAGCUAGUUGGUGGGGUAAAGGCCUACCAAGGCGACGAUCCGUAACUGGUCUGAGAGGAUGAUCAGUCACACUGGAACUGAGACACGGUCCAGACUCCUACGGGAGGCAGCAGUGGGGAAUAUUGGACAAUGGGCGAAAGCCUGAUCCAGCCAUGCCGCGUGUGUGAAGAAGGUCCUCGGAUUGUAAAGCACUUUAAGUUGGGAGGAAGGGCAGUAAGUUAAUACCUUGCUGUUUUGACGUUACCAACAGAAUAAGCACCGGCUAACUUCGUG
rnacentral:rRNA from 1 species